rnacentral:rRNA from 1 species
UACAGAGGCCCCGAGCGUUGUUCGGAUUCACUGGGCGUAAAGGGUGCGUAGGUGGCAUAGAAAGUUUGAUGUGAAAGCUCAGGGCUUAACCCUGAAAUGGCAUUGAAUACUGCUGUGCUGGAGGUUUGGAGGGGGGACUGGAAUUCUUGGUGUAGCAGUGAAAUGCGUAGAUAUCAAGAGGAACACCAGUGGCGAAGGCGAGUCCCUGGACAACACCUGACACUGAGGCACGAAAGCUAGGGGAGCAAACAGG